rnacentral:pre_miRNA from 7 species
CCCUUGGAGUAAAGUAGCAGCACAUAAUGGUUUGUGGAUGUUGAAAAGGUGCAGGCCAUACUGUGCUGCCUCAAAAUACAAGGA